ensembl:lncRNA
AAAAAAGCCAGACAGUGUGCUGCUUGUGUGCUUCAAUACUGGCCACUGCACAAGUUUGUACACAGCACUUUCUAAUCUUUACCAGACAAAGGGGCUCUGGUGUUUAAUUCAGUCACAAACUGGCUUUAAAGGACCAACCACAGCUGUGCAUGCUUUGCUGGAAGUUGGACCUGUCACCCAAGAAAGAAACAAUGAAGAGAAGCAUGGGGAUCCUGCCAUAUUCUGAGGUGUCUCCCUGGCAUGGGUUCAAAGCAUGAUUGGGACCUCCAGUUCCUGGGUCCAGAAACCUUGGGGGCAAGCUCAGGACAAGAGGAUGCCAUAGUUUGUUUAGAAGAAAAACCCUACAUCUCUGGAUGAAUUCAAAAGAGAUCAGAUGAAGUAUUAAUUGUAUGUAAGGCACGAAAUAAAAUAUAUGCGAUGGAGAGUUGCAAAAUGAAAAAUGAAGAACCUUGGUUUUGGUGGGGACUUGAUUUGGGAUUUCACUAGCUCCUCAGUUUGCCUAUCUAGAUACAGAGAUGUGGGGGCAGAUGCAAAGCCUGUCGUUCCUGAAGCGUCUGCACAUUCUGUACCUCUUGUUCCUUGAUUACUGUUUUCUCCUGGCUUCCAGCAGGCUGCCUGCCCACCUGUGUGCUUUCAGAGCUUCCCUCUUAACUGUGUAACCAAAAGGAGUUCAGCUAUCAUCUUGAGUUAUUUUCAACCUUUAGCAAGGAAUCUCUUAAAUAAUGAUGAAACAUAGUGUGACAGAAACUGGAAUAAAU